UCUCUCUUUUUCUCGCUGUCACCUCCACACACCUACUAACACACAUGCUGUCACACAGUACAAAAGAACAUUAAGUUGCACAAGUCAGUUUCCUACCAUUGUACUGGCUGCACAAACUUAAUCUUCUGCUCACAACCUGGACUGACUGAUGCUGCUCAAUAAUCUUUGACAGGAAACCAGCAACGCUGCGAGCGGUCUGCCAGCUUCCUCUCAGCCGAGACAACGCAGUACGACUUCUCAUACACAGUCAAACAAGAUAAAGACAAUACUUCCUGUCACAUCUCCAGGACCUUGAAUAUUCUUUUACAAAUGGUUCUCCUUCUGAUGAACCAUUAACAACUGCUUUGACACAAAAGGAGUUUGACUGCAAAAUUCCCCAAGCCAGAAGGAUUUUUCUACUCCAGAAAGAAAAGUAUAAGGAGGCAUGGCUGAAGUCACCUACAAAACGUCCACCCCGACUGUGCUGAUCCUUUUUUUCUGCCUAUUAUGCUUAAUAGUAUUGCUGGUCCUCUUGUACAAGAAGUUGAACAGGGACGCCAAUGGAGAAUAUACUGUGCGACGCAUGGUGUAUAAGGAUGGAGGGGUCAGGGAUCGUGUGAGAGGGACAGCGUUAGCUCUGGGGACACGUUUUGGGGUCCAACUGUGGCCUCAACGUGAUGAUGACGGAGAAGAAAUGCAGGAAGUCCAAGUUGAGGAGGGACAGGUGGAGGACGGUGGUAGCCAGGAGAGUGACAGCGAGGGAGAUGAGGAGGACGAGGAGGAAAAUGACGAGGAGCAGCGUAGUAUGGCGAAGGAAAAAGAUGGUGACACCUCAGAUGAUAACUCAAGUGUGGAGAGUUCUGAAGCAGAGGAGCCAGCCAGGCUAACGGGUCAGUCAACGGCAAAGGGAGAGAUAGAGGAGAAAGGGGAUGAUGGGGAAGGUAAAGGGGAAGCAAGUGGAGGGGCUGGAUUGUUGGUAGAUCUAAAGCAGUUCUCUGGAAGUGCAAUCUGGUCUGAGGAAGAGGGAGGUGAGGGUAAGAACCGUGAUAUCACUGCACUGUGAGAACAUAAUUUAAAACAUUUAAUACAAGAGAGGCUUGGGAAAUUGUCCUUAGUAAUGUCCCAUAAUUAUCUGGUUAAAUAUAUUUUCUAUACAUUUUAUUACCCAACAUAUAGGUUCUCUUUUUUACUAGGGAACAUCUCUUGGUUCCCUCUAAAAACAUCCACACAAGUGUUUAAUAGCUCAAAACCAAUACAUUCCACCUAAAAAGAUAUUGUAUACAUUGUCCUGAUGUGACUUACUUUUGAGGCAUCAGAUAGUAUAAAAGUUUACCUUUUUAUAAAGUAAAACUAGUCUGAAACGUUGUAUUAUUGUGUCAGCCAAUAGCAUGCUGUGUAUUUGUUUAUGCUUUUUGUAUUGCUUUAAAUGUUUUUUCCUGAUUUUCAAAAAAAUUAAAAACAGAAACCCAUAA